GGUUGCGAUCAUACCAGCACUAAUGCACCGGAUCCCAUCAGAACUCCGCAGUUAAGCGUGCUUGGGCGAGACUAGUACUAGGAUGGGUGAACCCCUGGGAAGUCCUCGUGUUGCAACCC
rnacentral:rRNA from 1 species